CUGACAGAUACAAUCAGAAGCCACAGGGCAAGGAAGGUAUUGAGGAUCAAGAGCUCUUUCAGGCAGUCGUUUUAGUUCAGUUUCCCAGGACACAGAGCAGUGUGGAGAAGAGUGGAGACUGGAUCCGGACAGACGAAAGGAAGUUAUACAGCAUAACACACAAGUCAGUAUUCAAUAGCAGAAAGGAGGUCCGGAGGUACUAUGAAAAAAAUCACUGAGAUACUAAGGGCACGGUGAACACAAAGGUUGAAAACCUCAGAUCUAAAGUAUUAAAAUCAUUCUCGGGCAAAUCACAAAAGUUCUACUGUAUUCUGACGGUGGAUUCUGCUAUUUGAUUUUUGAAUGCUGAAGGAGUCUUGCAUACGUGGGAUGCCUCUUUUGGUCUUGAUGGUUCUGAUGCAACUUAAGGGUUGAGAACUACAGCCACUUUUGAUACUGGUUUAAUGUCUCUACUGUGGAAAGAGAUGGCAGAGUUCACUCAG